GAAGAAGAAGAAGAAGAAGAAGAAGAAGAAGAAGAAGAAGAAGAAGAAGAAGAAGAAGAAGAAGAAGAAGAAGAAGGAGGAGAAAAUGUUGCUGGCAUUUCUCUUCUCCAACUCUGAAGAGUGAAGGAAAUAUCCUUGUUGAACGUUUUCAUGGGGUUCCAGCUGAAGAGUAAUUACAUUGGAGGUCAUUCUUGGUCAACUUAGGAGCAGAUAAUCUCAUAGGUGCCAAAAAUGAAGAGCUAUUUGUUGCUACUUGCUUCUCACAAGUCCGUUUACACUGUGUACUCCGUGCUUGGAGAUGUAUGCAUCUACAUCGUCGGCAAGGACGAGUAUGACGAACUUGCUUGAAUUGGUGGAAUUAUUAGGGAUGACCAAGGACUAUCUCUGGCUGGCUUUGCAAAACACGUCUAUAGGGAUGGAAACAAUAUGGAUGAAAUCCGAACCAUCCGUGAAGGUUUAAGUCUUGUGCUAAAGCUGGGAAAGAAGAAUGUUUAUGUUGAAAGUGAUUCCGCAUAUAUCAUCGGCAUGUGUAAAGGUUUGACUCCUUUCCCCUGGUUUUUUCGUAAUAUUUUGGCUGAUGUGAACUUGUUGGUAUCACAACUUGCUCAUGUAAUCUUUGUACACAAGUAUAGACAGGCUAGUGUAGCUGUAGAUGUGCUUGCUAAAAAGGCAGCUAAUGAAAAUUUAUGUAAUAAAUGGCUAAAUAGUCCUCCAUCUUUUUUGGUUGAUGUACUAAUGGAGGAUGGGGCUUUUCCCCGGUUUGUAAAGCCCUCUUAGUUUUUCUGCUGGA